rnacentral:rRNA from 1 species
UGAACGCUGGCGGCGUGCCUAACACAUGCAAGUCGAACGAAGCACCUUACCUGAUUCUUCGGAUGAAAGUUUGGUGACUGAGUGGCGGACGGGUGAGUAACGCGUGGGUAACCUGCCCUGUACAGGGGGAUAACAGCUGGAAACGGCUGCUAAUACCGCAUAAGCGCACGAGGAGACAUCUCCUUGUGUGAAAAACUCCGGUGGUACAGGAUGGGCCCGCGUCUGAUUAGCUGGUUGGCAGGGUAACGGCCUACCAAGGCAACGAUCAGUAGCCGGUCUGAGAGGAUGAACGGCCACAUUGGAACUGAGACACGGUCCAAACUCCUACGGGAGGCAGCAGUGGGGAAUAUUGCACAAUGGGGGAAACCCUGAUGCAGCAACGCCGCGUGAGUGAAGAAGUAUUUCGGUAUGUAAAGCUCUAUCAGCAGGGAAGAUAAUGACGGUACCUGACUAAGAAGCUCCGGCUAAAUACGUG